AUUGAACGCUGGCUGCAGGCUUAACACAUGCAAGUCGAACGAGUGGCGGACGGGUGAGUAAUGCUUGGGAAUCUAGCUUAUGGAGGGGUAUAACUACCGGAAACUGUAGCUAAUACCGCGUACCAUAGGAUGAGCCCAAGUGGGAUGAGGUAGUUGGUGAGGUAAAGGCUCCCCAAGCCGACGAUCUCUAGCUGGUCUGAGAGGAUGACCAGCCACACUGGGACUGAGACCCGGCCCAGACUCCUACGGGAGGCAGGAGUGGGGAAUAUUGCGCAAUGGGGGCAACGUAAAGCAGCAAUGCCGCGUGAAUGAAGAAGGCCUGCGGGUAGUAAAGUUAUUUCGGUAGCGAGGCGUUAACGACAGAGGAAGCACCGGCUAACUCCGUGCCAGCAGCCGCGGUAAUAC
rnacentral:rRNA from 1 species